rnacentral:rRNA from 1 species
GACGAACGCUGGCGGCGUGCUUAACACAUGCAAGUCGAGCGGUAAGGCCCUUUCGGGGGUACACGAGCGGCGAACGGGUGAGUAACACGUGGGUGACCUGCCCUUAGCUCUGGGAUAAGCCUGGGAAACUGGGUCUAAUACCGGAUAUGACUCCAUAACGCAUGUUGUGGGGUGGAAAGCCUUGUGCGGCUAGGGAUGGGCCCGCGGCCUAUCAGCUUGUUGGUGGGGUGAUGGCCACCAAGGCGACGACGGGUAGCCGGCCUGAGAGGGCGACCGGCCACACUGGGACUGAGACACGGCCCAGACUCCUACGGGAGGCAGCAGUGGGAAUCUUGCGCAAUGGGCGAAAGCCUGACGCAGCGACGCCGCGUGGGGA